rnacentral:lncRNA from 1 species
CAUUUCUUGGUCUAGAUCCGGACCCUUGGUUUUAAUCGAAAUGGACUGAUAGGGUCUCUCGGAGUGUCAUCUCACUCGUUACCCCUGCAUUCCAACAACUGCUCAGGCGUGGGCCCUGUUUGCCUCCCUCCACAGGCUGGGAACCCGGCUGAGCAGCUACUCACCAUGCAGUGCUUGCUCUAAAGCGGAAGACCACGCUAAGUCAUUAAUGGGGCGGAAGGCUGCAGGCUGAAGCCACAUCUACAGCAAGGCUGCCCAAGGUCACACAGCUGGAAAUCCUGG